rnacentral:tRNA from 1 species
GGAGGAGCAGGCCGGCGUCGUGCCGGAGGAUCCGGCCCUCCACCUCACGCAGCUGCGGCCCCGGUUCCACGCCGAGCUCCUCGGCCA